AGCAGCCGCGGUAAUUCCAGCUCCAAUAGCGUAUAUUAAAGUUGUUGCAGUUAAAAAGCUCGUAGUUGAAUUUCGGGAUCAAUAUAUCGGUCAUGCUUAGGUAUGUACUGGUAUUAUUGAUUUCUCCCUUCUGAAGAACCAUGAUGUCAUUUAUUUGAUGUCGUGGGGAAUCAGGACUGUUACUUUGAAAAAAUUAGAGUGUUUAAAGCAGGCUUUCGCUUGAAUACAUUAGCAUGGAAUAAUGAAAUAGGACGUUUGAUUCUAUUUUGUUGGUUUCUAGGAUCGACGUAAUGAUUAAUAGGGAUAGUUGGGGGCAUUAGUAUUCAAUUGUCAGAGGUGAAAUUCUUGGAUUUAUUGAAGACUAACUACUGCGAAAGCAUUUGCCAAGGAUGUUUUCAUUAAUCAAGAACGAAAGUUAGGGGAUCGAAGACGAUCAGAUACCGUCGUAGUCUUAACCAUAAACUAUGCCGACUAGGGAUCGGAUGAUGUUAAUUUUUUAAUGACUCA
rnacentral:rRNA from 1 species